UUAACACAUGCAAGUCGAACGAAGCACUUCAUAAAGCUUGCUUUAAGAAGUGACUUAGUGGCGGACGGGUGAGUAACGCGUGGGUAACCUGCCUUACACAGGGGGAUAACAGUUAGAAAUGACUGCUAAUACCGCAUAAAACAGCAGAGUCGCAUGACUCAACUGUCAAAGAUUUAUCGGUGUAAGAUGGACCCGCGUCCGAUUAGCUGGUUGGUGGGGUAACGGCCUACCAAGGCGACGAUCAGUAGCCGGCCUGAGAGGGUGAACGGCCACAUUGGGACUGAGACACGGCCCAAACUCCUACGGGAGGCAGCAGUGGGGAAUAUUGGACAAUGGGCGAAAGCCUGAUCCAGCGACGCCGCGUGAGCGAUGAAGUAUUUCGGUAUGUAAAGCUCUA
rnacentral:rRNA from 1 species